rnacentral:rRNA from 1 species
CACGUAGGCACCAAGCGUUGUCCGGAUUUAUUGGGCGUAAAGAGCUCGUAGGCGGUUCAGUAAGUCGGGUGUGAAAACUCUGGGCUCAACCCAGAGAGGCCACCCGAUACUGCUGUGACUUGAGUACGGUAGGGGAGUGGGGAAUUCCUGGUGUAGCGGUGAAAUGCGCAGAUAUCAGGAGGAACACCAGUGGCGAAGGCGCCACUCUGGGCCGUAACUGACGCUGAGGAGCGAAAGCGUGGGUAGCAAACGGG